rnacentral:rRNA from 1 species
AGUGUCAGCAGCCGCGGUAAUACGAAGGGUGCAAGCGUUAAUCGGAAUUACUGGGCGUAAAGCGCGCGUAGGUGGUUCGUUAAGUUGGAUGUGAAAGCCCCGGGCUCAACCUGGGAACUGCAUCCAAAACUGGCGAGCUAGAGUAUGGCAGAGGGUGGUGGAAUUUCCUGUGUAGCGGUGAAAUGCGUAGAUAUAGGAAGGAACACCAGUGGCGAAGGCGACCACCUGGGCUAAUACUGACACUGAGUGCG